rnacentral:lncRNA from 10 species
AAGCUGUGGUGAGGGAGGGAGACACGCUGGUGUUGACGUGUGCUGUCACGGGGAACCCCAGGCCAAACCAGAUCCGCUGGAACCGCGGGAAUGAGUCUUUGCCGGAGAGGGCGGAGGCCGUGGGAGAGACGCUCACGCUGCCGGGUCUGGUAUCCGCGGAUAACGGCACCUACACUUGCGAGGCGUCCAAUAAGCACGGCCAUGCGAGGGCGCUCUACGUACUUGUGGUCUACGGUAACCGAACCUGUCUGCGCCUCAGUUUACCCAUCAGUAAAGUGGAAAUAAACAAUAGCACCUAUAUA